GGGGGGGGGGGGGGGGGGGGGUGGGGGGGGGGAGGCGGGGGGGGGGGGCCGGCGUUGGGGGGGGGCUCGAGGGGCGAGCGGGUGGGGAACCCGUGAGGCACCUGCCCUUGACUUUGGGAUAACUUCCGGGACCUGGGGCUAAUACCGGAGAGGAGCUCCUGCUGCAUGGUGGGGGGUGGACAGGGGCGGCGGUUGGGGAUGGACUCGCGGCUUAUCAGCUUGUUGGUGGGGUAGUGGCUUACCAAGGCUUUGACGGGUAGCCGGCCUGAGAGGGUGACCGGCCACAUUGGGACUGAGAUACGGCCCAGACUCCUACGGGAGGCAGCAGUGGGGAAUAUUGCACAAUGGGCGGAAGCCUGAUGCAGCAACGCCGCGUGCGGGAUGACGGCCUUCGGGUUGUAAACCGCUUUCGCCUGUGACGAAGCGUGAGUGACGGUAAUGGGUAAAGAAGCACCGGCUAACUACGUG
rnacentral:rRNA from 1 species